rnacentral:lncRNA from 1 species
CUGCGGGAGAAGGUGGGGUCGGCGCUUUGCGCCUGGGGAGAAGAGAGGCGCCGCGCGCUGCCCGUGGGACCCACGUCGGGCUGGCGUUCACGCCCGUGGGUGUGGGCACUGGAACCGCACCCGAACUGAACAGCUGCUUCCCGGCUCCAGCUGCCCCCGGAUGGGGAGGGGAAAACCUCGCCCAGGCGAGGCUCUCUAGCGGCCGCGGAGAGAGGGAGAGGGAGAAGGGGCAGGUAGAUGAGCGAGAGCAGCCGAGGGGCGAGAGGGGAGGGGAUUCCGGGCUGCCAAGAACCUUCCUCCUUCUGCCCCGCUUGGGAGGGCCAUGAGGGAGAGGGUGACCUCCAGCCAAACUAGAGAGCAGCCCGGUCAGAGCUUGGCAUGGCUCCAAUGAGCCCCUGUGUGGCCACUUCUCUCUUUGCUGCCUACCUCUGCCUUUGGAGAGGGUAAGUGAUUCACUGAGGUGCGGUGCUGUGGUGGGGGGAAUGGAGCUGUCCCAGAAAUUACUGCCCCUGUCCUGGUGGG